UACGUAGGGGGGCAAGCGUUUGUCCGGAAUUAUUGGGCGUAAAGAGCGUGUAGGCGGUCCGGUAAGUCAGCUGUGAAAGUCAAGGGCUCAACCCUUGAAAGCCGGUUGAUACUGUCGGGCUAGAGUCCGGAAGAGGCGAGUGGAAUUCCCGGUGUAGCGGUGAAAUGCGCAGAUAUCGGGAGGAACACCAAUGGCGAAGGCAGCUCGCUGGGACGGUACUGACGCUGAGACGCGAAAGCGUGGGGAGCAAACAGG
rnacentral:rRNA from 1 species